UAAACCCAUCGCUUCCCUCCCUUGUUAAACCAGGGGGGUCGGCCCAUCACUUGCUGGUGGGCUUGGAAGCGGAGCUGGCUUUCCCACGCUUCGUGCGUGGGUUGGCUGAAAAGCAGAGGCUAGAGCUAGGACCCAUCAUGGGCUCAACUGGAUAGGUAGAUCUGGCGCCUAGCGGCACCUCCUACACGAAGUUGUGGCUUGUGGUCCUCGGCUGGCGGCCUGCAGGAAAUGAGCGUGUGUGCGUGUUGGAGCUUCUGCUUCCACCGCCUCCGCCAUCUACC
rnacentral:misc_RNA from 1 species